rnacentral:rRNA from 1 species
UACGGAGGGAGCUAGCGUUGUUCGGAAUUACUGGGCGUAAAGCGCACGUAGGCGGCUUUGUAAGUUAGAGGUGAAAGCCCGGAGCUCAACUCCGGAAUUGCCUUUAAGACUGCAUCGCUUGAAUCCGGGAGAGGUGAGUGGAAUUCCGAGUGUAGAGGUGAAAUUCGUAGAUAUUCGGAAGAACACCAGUGGCGAAAGGCGGCUCACUGGACCGGUAUUGACGCUGAGGUGCGAAAGCGUGGGGAGCAAACAGG